rnacentral:sRNA from 1 species
CGCUCCCGCCCUAUCGGGCGUUUCCUCCCUAUUUUACCUUUCGCCGCCGGGCCUCACAGCCCGGCGGUUUUUUCUUUGGGCG